rnacentral:rRNA from 1 species
CGGGACACGUGGUAUCCUGUCUGAAUAUGGGGGGACCAUCCUCCAAGGCUAAAUACUCCUGACUGACCGAUAGUGAACCAGUACCGUGAGGGAAAGGCGAAAAGAACCCCGGCGAGGGGAGUGAAAAAGAACCUGAAACCGUGUACGUACAAGCAGUGGGAGCACAGAGCAAUCUGUGUGACUGCGUACCUUUUGUAUAAUGGGUCAGCGACUUAUAUUCUGUAGCAAGGUUAACCGAAUAGGGGAGCCGAAGGGAAACCGAGUCUUAACUGGGCGUUAAGUUGCAGGGUAUAGACCCGAAACCCGGUGAUCUAGCCAUGGGCAG